rfam:Bacteroides coprocola DSM 17136 Scfld_02_72 genomic scaffold, whole genome shotgun sequence.
GAGAGCCGUAUACAUGGAGACGUGUAAGUACGGUUCGGGGGCAGGCAAACGAAAACCUACCGCUGUAAAGCGGAAAGGCGUUGUUUGCCGAGCCUAC